rnacentral:rRNA from 1 species
UGGGGAAUAUUGGGCAAUGGGCGCAAGCCUGACCCAGCAACGCCGCGUGAAGGAAGAAGGCUUUCGGGUUGUAAACUUCUUUGACAGGGGAAGAGACGAAGACGGUACCCUGAAAACAAGCCACGGCUAACUACGUGCCAGCAGCCGCGGUAAUACGUAGGUGGCGAGCGUUGUCCGGAUUUACUGGGUGUAAAGGGCGUGCAGCCGGGAGUACAAGUCAGAUGUGAAAUCCCGCGGCUCAACCGCGGAACUGCAUUUGAAACUGUAUUUCUUGAGUACUGGAGAGGCAGACGGAAUUCCUAG